GGAUUGUGGCUCAGCGGUAGAGCACCUGCCUAGCAUGUGCAAGGCCCUGGGUUCAAUUCUCAGCACCA
rnacentral:tRNA from 1 species